UUUAGCAUGGAAUAAUGGAAUAGGACGUGUGGUUCUAUUUUGUUGGUUUCUAGGACCGCCGUAAUGAUUAAUAGGGACAGUCGGGGGCAUCAGUAUUCAGUUGUCAGAGGUGAAAUUCUUGGAUCUACUGAAGACUAACUACUGCGAAAGCAUUUGCCAAGGAUGUUUUCAUUGAUAAGGAACGAAAGUUAGGGGAUCGAAGACGAUCAGAUACCGUCGUAGUCUUAACUAUAAACUAUGCCGACUAGGGAUCGGACGAUGUUAUUAUUUGACGCGUUCGGCACCUUUCGAGAAAUCAAAGUGCUUGGGCUCCAGGGGGAGUAUGGUCGCAAGGCUGAAACUUAAAGAAAUUGACGGAAGGGCACCACCAGGGGUGGAACCUGCGGCUUAAUUUGACUCAACACGGGGAAACUCACCAGGUCCAGACACAGUGAGGAUUGACAGAUUGAGAGCUCUUUCUUGAUUCUGUGGGUGGUGGUGCAUGGCCGUUCUUAGUUGGUGGAGUGAUUUGUCUGCUUAAUUGCGAUAACGAACGAGACCUUAACCUGCUAAGUAGCCCGUACUGCUCUGGCAGUUCGCCGGCUUCUUAGAGGGACUAUCGGCUCAAGCCGAUGGAAGUUUGAGGCAAUAACAGGUCUGUGAUGCCCUUAGAUGUCCUGGGCCGCACGCGCGUUACACUGACAGAGCCAGCGAGUACCUCCUUGGCCGGAAGGCCCGGGUAAUCUUGUUAAACUCUGUCGUGCUGGGGAUAGAGCAUUGCAAUA
rnacentral:rRNA from 1 species